rnacentral:lncRNA from 1 species
AAUGCCAUUGCCGUUACCAGUGGUCAUGGUUCAAAAGUUAUUCACAUUAUUGACCCUAACAGCAGAACAAUCAAGAGAACUAUACAAAGUAGUGAAUAUCCAUAUGGUAUAGCACUGAAUAAAACUGUCCUGGUAUACUGUAAGUAAGGUAAAGGAAUAAUGGAAGUUCAAUUGAAUGGUGAAUCAGAAAAGGCACUUGUUUGCCUUGAUAUGCCAUCUUUUUCGUAUGUUGCAGUGCAUGGUGACAAUAUGUAUUAUACAAAUAAAGACAACCAUUCUGUAACAUGCUAUGAUAUCCAUGGAAAUUUAAAAUGGGACAUUUAAGAAUAACAAAAUCUGCAAUAUCCACAGGGUAUAUCUGUAGACAACAAUGGAAACGUGUAUGUUGUCAGUAUGGAUACAAACAGCGUUGUCAUCAUUACGCCUGAUGGAAAGCGUUGCAAGACAAUAUUGUCCUCUCGUGAUGGCCUUAGUAAGCCACGUGCAUUGCAUUUCGAACCAACAAGUAACAAGUUGUUAGUUGCCAAUGAAAACAAGAGUCGCAUUUCUAUUUGAUGUUUCCUAAAACAACUACUGUGAAUUUCUAACUAUGAACCUAUUGGUAUAUAUUUGUGUCUAAUCAUUUUAUCAUUUUUUGUUUACGUUUCCUUGUUGCGAUCAUUUCCCGUACAAUGCUUCUUUUUUUACAUCAUCGUUCUAUGACGUCCGGUACUUCAUUCAUAAAAAACAUAUGACGUGGGAGUACGAUCUGAACAACCCUGGUAAUAUAUUCAUAUUUUACCACGGGUGUUUACUAAUAACGUUUGAAAGACGUCAUGUUAGAAUAUAAAUGUAUAUAACUAUAUACAGCUUAUUAUAC